rnacentral:rRNA from 1 species
UACGUAGGUGGCAAGCGUUGUCCGGAAUCAUUGGGCGUAAAGCGCGCGCAGGUGGUUUCUUAAGUCUGAUGUGAAAGCCCACGGCUCAACCGUGGAGGGUCAUUGGAAACUGGGGAACUUGAGUGCAGGAGAGAAGAGUGGAAUUCCACGUGUAGCGGUGAAAUGCGUAGAGAUGUGGAGGAACACCAGUGGCGAAGGCGACUCUUUGGCCUGUAACUGACACUGAGGCGCGAAAGCGUGGGGAGCAAACAGG